UGGAUCUUGAUCAGUCUCUGGCUUCUGGUGGGCGGAGCUGCGGCUUUCCACCCUCCAGGAGGAGAGUCUGAUGGAGCAGCAGAGGAACAUUAUCAGCCGUUUGGACUCAGCUCAGCCACUACAGGCUGAACCGAGUUCAACACAACAGGACCAACGUGGACCAAGAAGUCAGUGCUCUCAAGAGGCUGCAAAACCUCACAGGAGGAAGGGAGACAAAAAUUACAGCUAUGAUGUGUGUUGGAAGUCCUUUACUCGGGAGAGUGUCCUACAAAAACAUCAGGGCCUCCACAGUGGAGUGAAAGCAUACCUUUGUGAUCAAUGUGGGAAGCGUUUUACCCGGAAGGAAAGUCUGGAAAGUCAUCAGCUCAUCCACAGUGGUGUUAAACCAUACAGCUGUGAUCACUGCAGCAGCGCUUUUACUCAACUUAGCACCUUACGGCGCCACAAAGUUAUCCACUCUGGAAUUAGGCCAUAUGGCUGUAGGUUUUGUGGAAAAACUCAGUCAACUAGCUUACCGAAAUAUACACAUGCGCUUUCAUACCAGAUUUAAUGUGUCCUCCUGUGAUCAGUGUGGCAAACAGUUUGUAACAGCUGCAGACUUACGGCGCCACAGAUUAACCCACACUGAGGAGAGACCUUAUAAAUGUGACCAGUGUGAUAAGGCUUUUAAAAUGCCAUAUCCUCUGAAAGUACACAAACAGACCCACACCAGAGAGAGACUACACAAGUGCAGCUCCUGUGAGAAGCAGAGCAACACAGAUGCAUCCAGUUCUCAACCCUGUCAUCACUGUGGUGGGAAACUGUUUCUUUGUGACACUUGUGGAAAAACUUUCUCUAAGGAAAAUAACCUCAAAACACAUCAACGUAAACACACUGGACACAAAAUGAAGUACUGCAAAGAUUGUGGGAGAGGCUUCCCCACACCAAGUAAACUGAAACAGCAUGAAGUCAUCCACAGUGGAAUUAAAACCCACCUCUGUGACCAGUGUGGGUCAUUCUUUACCACUGCAGGUAACCUUAAAAAGCAUAAACGAGGCCACACAGGAGAGAAACCAUACAAAUGCAGACACUGUGGGAAAAGCUUCUCACGAUCAGAUAGUCGUAACGCUCAUGAAGGUACUCACCAAAGAGAACAGCUGUGACAGAGCUUGAAGAACUUCAGUUCAUACUCCAAGACAAACAAUCCCAUGCUGCAAAUGAACUGUUUCAGUGUCAGCUAAUUAUCACUUGGAUCUGAAGUAGCU